ACGGAACAAGAUCGGACAACUCGUAAUGCGUAGGUCUCGGGUUCGAAUCCCGAAGGCGGCUCCA
rnacentral:tRNA from 1 species